rnacentral:rRNA from 1 species
AACGUAGGAGGCAAGCGUUAUCCGGAAUUACUGGGCGUAAAGCGCAUGCAGGCGGUGGGCAAAGUCUGACGUGAAAGCUCCUGGCUCAACUAGGAGAGGCCGUUGGAAACUAGCCGGCUAGAGGGUGAUAGAGGCGAGUGGAAUUCCCGGUGUAGUGGUGAAAUGCGUAGAUAUCGGGAGGAACACCAGAGGCGAAGGCGGCUCGCUGGGUCACACCUGACGCUAAGAUGCGAAAGCCAGGGGAGAGAACGGGAUUAGAAACCCGGGUAGUCC